rnacentral:RNase_P_RNA from 1 species
AUAGUCAAUCGGUCUGUCGCCUCAUUCAAAAUGGGGAGGAAAGUCCGGACAACACAGAGUGCCCCACCACCUAACGGAUGGCUGUUUGCGAGAGCAGAGUAAGGUAGAAGAAAAGAACCGCCCGGCGCAAGUUGGGUAAGGGUGAGAAGGUGAGGUAAGAGCUUACCGGUCUGUUUGGCAACAGGCAGAGCCGUACCUCUUGGGGGUUGCAAGAUCAUGUACACCGGCGUAUGUAGGGCUACUCGUCCGAUGCCGGGGGGUAGAUUGCUGGAGCUUACCGGUGACGGCAAGUCGAGAUAAAUGGCAGACGCCUGCUUGCAGGCACAGAAUCCGGCUUAUAGAUUGGCUAUUUUU